UCCAUCGAAAUUUUGUCUCACUUCCACUCAUGAAUACUCAACGACUGCAUCAAACCCAAUGGCUUCUGAUGCUUAAUCUUUAACUUCUGGAAAGUCUAACAAGCAUACACAAACUUAGAAAUUUCCUUCUUCAUUCCUGGCCACCAAAACAUCUUCUUCAAGUCUUGAUACAUUUUAGUUGCAUCGAGAUGAAUACUCA
rnacentral:lncRNA from 1 species